UUCCCUAUCCAAGGUUUGAUUCUUAGAAUUGUUUUCUUCACACUUAAUUCUUUUUAUUGUAUUUUUUCGCUCUUGGUUCAAAAUUAAGUAAAUUGGAAAACUUGAAAUCCUUAUGUAUAAGUGGCAACGGAUUCAAUAACAUCCUACCAAUUUAAGAUGAACUUCAGAUCUUGGGGUGAAUUAUAUUUAUUGAUAAAUUAAUUAUUUUGUAAACAUAAAUGGAUUUUUCAAAAUAUUUUUGAUAGUUUUACAAUAUCACAUAUAAAAAAU
rnacentral:misc_RNA from 1 species